UUGGCCUUGAGUGGAAAAACUCAAGGACAACAUCCAGACUCUGAAUUCUUCAAGCCUCAUGAGGGAUCAAAAAGGAAAGAGGGGAGGGAAGAAGAGGGGGAGUAAAAGAUCAUAGAGAGUGAAGCACCCAUAAUUUAUGAAUGUAUGCUGGUUUUAUUUCUAUUUUCAAACAGCUUGAAGUUAUUGAUAAAUGACUACUAAGCUCUUUGUUUAAUUUCCAAAACUUCUUUCAGUUACAUUUCUCAGUAUAUCAAAUCAGUUAUUGAAGACAGCAAAUUGAUUUAGUAUUCAGAAGUAAAAUCUGAUACAAAUACUAUCAAGCCCUACCUUAUCUGUGAUAGGCCUUUGAUUAAAGUGUUUGGAAUACUGUUGAAAAAUAAUGGGAAAAUAUACCUGUGAUUU